rnacentral:rRNA from 1 species
UACGGAGGGGGCAAGCGUUGUUCGGAAUCACUGGGCGUAAAGGGCGCGUAGGCGGCUGUGUAAGUUGGAUGUGAAAUCUCGAGGCUUAACCUGGGAAGGCCAAGUGACACUGCCCGGCUCGAGUCCCGGAGAGGAAAGUGGAAUUCUCGGUGUAGGGGUGAAAUCCGUAGAUAUCGAGAGGAACACCUGAGGCGAAGGCGGGUUGCUGGGCUGACACUGACGCUGAGGCGCGAAAGCUUGGGGAGCAAACAGG